CCCUCGCCUCAUCCCACUCCCACUCCAGCCGCCAGACAAAACCUAGCCCCCUUGCCCAAUGCCCCCCGAUCCCCACAGCCGUCGCACGACUUCGCUCCUCCUUCCCUCCCACCGUACCCUCUCCUUGCUUGCAUCCGCCUCCUUUCCACCUCCGCCCGAGCUCCGCCUUCCUCGCCCGCCUCCUCCUCCUUGCCAUCGGUGGAAUCAGUGAGCAUAGGGGCAACAGCAAUGGCUGGAUGCGAUGAGCUUGCCUCCGGUGGCGCCAGGAACCUGCAAGCAAAGGGCGACCCCAUGGAUCCAUCCCUGCAGGGAGAGAAGAUGCGGAUGGAGGAUUGAAGGAUAGGGGGAGGUAGGCGAGCUGGCGGGGUGGUCUCGCCGGCGAUGACAGGGCUGACCGGCCGGAGUUGGAUCGAGAUCCCGGCUCGGCUUGGCUCCAACUCCCUCUUUCACCUCUCCGCUCCCCGGCACUCAAAUCUGGCUCUUCUGCACACAUAAGUAGCUAUGGAAAGAAAGCUUGUAGUGGAGUGGGUUCCUUUGUAUGAUCUUGGAAGAUGAUGACCUCUGAACCUCAUUAGAAAGCAUGGCAACGGCUUAAGGUUAGCGCAUUUCGAGAAGCCAACAGAUCACCGCCUACUUCCUUAGGCUGACAAUCACCUGCGGGAUAAAGUGUGAUGUUUUGCCUGAGGGGUUGGAGCAGGACAGCAGGAGGAGACAAGAUCAAGGACUGGGCCAAUGUGGUCGUCGCGCACGAACCAGUGUAGCCCAUUGGCGCUGGGAAAGUUGUAUCAGCGGCUCAGGCACAUGAAAUACCUCAGUACACUGUCAGUUGCUCCAUUGAUAGCGUUAGUUGGCUUUGCACUGUAUGAGCUGGUUUUCCGUCGGUAAGGCCUGCGCAUUGUGUUUCUGCUCAAUACUUGUUUAAUCAUGCAUACUUAUGUUUGAACAACAAAUACACAUCCUGGUGAUAUUUGCUACACAAUUCCUAUGCACUCAAUAUUUUUAACCUUUUGUUACCCAACAUAAAUAUGUGCUCCAGGUGCAUUUUUGUGCCCAUCCGCUUUCAUUUUUACACUCCUGAUGAACAUGUCGAUGUGAUGAGGGGUGUUAACAGUCUUGCUCUGUAGUAGUGUGAAGAUCUGGAGGAUGCAGGCCAUGGCCUCCUCCAGUCUGCCUUGGCAUGUGUUACAUUGCUUAUAUAUAUGGAUGGGUAACCACUUGACAGUUUGUCCGUGCUACUCGCCAUUUCCUCUCGAAGCAUAUGCUUGCAGCAUAAUGAUUAAUUUUCUCUGAAAUAAAUGCCAUACAUUUUUAUUAUCUAUUUGUUCUUGUUUUUUUGUGUUCUUCAUUAAACCUAAUCCUUACCUGGUAUUGUUUUCUGAACUAUGUUAUCGUAGUAUUUUUUUUAAUAGAACACUGUAUCAUGUCAUAGGUUGGUCACGACGAACAUUGCUUCUUUGGAUUAGCUUGCAUAGGUUGGUUGGUGAUGAUGCUCUCCUGUGGACCGGCAGCCGUGGUUUGAUUUAGAUGUAAAAUUCACUAGCCUCUGUUGUUUAUCAGUUCCGUGCUGAUAGGGAAUUUGGGGCGAAGAUAGAAAGGGAAUGCUAAUAUUGAUCGGGAAUUUAUGCCUGUUACAUUUUAGUUAUAAAUCAAUCUUCCUGGUGAUUGGUUUGGCAAUAACUACACACUUUAAAAUUUUCAUCUUUUGGGUCUGCAUAGAUGAUUUCCCCUGAGGAUUGUAGUAAUGUUUAAACAAGUACUAAAAAUACUACUGGAGGUUGGGCUGCGCCAAUGACGCGUCUCCUGAGCCAGAUCAUUUCCUUCCUUUAAUUUUUAAUCAUGGUCUAGCGGUUUCAAGAACCAUUUAUCAAACAUUUAAGGAUAUUGAACAUAGUAUGUGACUAUGAAAAAAAGGUUGUCCUUUCUUUCAGGUUGUCCACGGGAGCUAUGGCAAAAAGGCAACUUGCUUGAACUGAAUCAGCCAUUAGCUUCUUAUUAUGUACAUAUCUGAAAAAACUGUAGGUCUACCUCUCUGUAGAAAUACACAAGCAUUCUAACCUAUAAGGUGGUUGGGCGACCCGCCCACCCAAGCGCUCCUUCGAUUUUUCUUAGUUUUGAGCCUUUGAUCGGGCCUGGUCGCGUCAACGCUGGUGUGCCAGCCGUUUGAUUUUUACAUAUUUUUUGACCCAUGAUUGUUUCAAGCAAUAGUGUUGUCAAUAUAUUAAUUACUAGAUUAUGUUACUAUUGUAUAUUAGAAGAACUUCAUGAUAUAUGUAUUUAUAGGAUUCUCUGAUAUUUGAUGCAAAAUAUUGAUGGCCAGGUGAAUACAGUGGACUCUUCAAGAUUGAGGGCAAACUGCAUAUGCCGAGGGUGUCCAUCGACAACCUGCCCAAUGUCCAUAUUCACCGAGGAGUACAACCAGAGACACUGUUGACUGCGUGUAGGCGCCAAGCCCUCCGACGCCCAGCCGUCCGCUAUGGUCUCUGCCCGAAGAAGGAUUAUGGUUCUCCACCUCUCUGCUACUCAUAUUAGAAUUCUGGCUUUUGAUAUACUUCAAACGAGAUUCUUUAUAUGUUGUUCGAUUCCUCUUGCUAUCACCACAAGGGGAAAUUGCUUACGGUGGCAAUAUGCUCUUCUAUGUUGUCUGAUUGACUCUUUUUAUUAGCAUGGAGAAAAACUUUUAGUUCACUAAGAUUAGUUUAUGUUCACAUUGCUCUGUAUAUAAAAAAGGAUUGUUGUGCUGAAAAGGUGUAUGACAUUCUGGCAAAACAUUGUUUAGUAAGAAAGUAUGUAGAGGUGAAAUGUUGUGGAUGUUCUGACAGGGAGAUACUUGGACUAACUUUACCGUCACACCUUAUUCAAUAUUCUGGGUAUUGGGUUAUGUUGUUUUCCUCCCAAUGUCAUGUGAUAUCUACUGGACUAUAAAUCACAUGCUUGAGAGAGCGAGCAUGCUUCUUUCCAUGGUUUAUUUUAUCUCUGUUUGUACCCAUGCAACUCUUAAUGAAACAUUGCAUUUAUGUUGUGUUUAACAUGCUCACAAAAUUGAAUAGAAACCCUUGUGAUGUGGAAUUCAUAUUAAAUCUAUGGACUAGCUCAUUCAGGUAUCACAGGGAAAAACAAUAUUUGUUUUCAGGAUUCAGUUUUGGUUCUUUUGGUAAAAAUAGUGAGACAGUGAUCUUAAUGAAACAUUGCAUAAGUCGCUGGUAUAAUCUGCAACUGGCAAAUAAAUUUGUAUAACUAUCUAUUU